UAUUGGAACUGGAUUUAGAAUGUCGCUAAAUUAGAUAUAUGCAUACGUAAUUUUUAACUCGGUGUAUUUGAAAUGUAACAUUAAAGACACUUUAUCAUCUUUCAUACACUCAAUAUAACCGCGCUCGAAAGAAGUUUUUAUCUACUGAUUUGUGGCGCGACAUUAAUUCUCUUAUAUAACUUUGUAUCCUUCCGAACUACUUCCCAACUACAUUCCACAGAAAUGUAGACGGAAGUUCUGUUCAGAAAAUA